UAGAGAUGGAGGAAAGGAGAAAAAAUAAAGUAGGGGUGGAUAGAAAAAACAGAAGGGGUUGUCUCAUUCAUCACCUGCCACUGGAAACCUAUAUAUAGGCAUUACAAGAUUAGAAGACAAGAAAAACUUUUUAGUUGCUAAUUUUCGUACCAUGUAACAUGUCUAAGACGCUAUGUUACGAAGAACUGCUGGACUAGAGAGAGUAAAAAAUUCCAGUUAUUCUAGAAUUACUAAUAAACUGUUCCCAUGUCAAUAUCUUGUGGAACCUCCAUCAGUAACAUCUAGAAAACUGAAAAUUUUGGUAAGUCCGCUUAGUUGCAACAAAAAUUGAUUCCUGAUAUUGGCUGCGUUGCUCUAUGUAUAUGUAUCAUUGUAUGAACUCCAGGUCCUUGAUUUUUUCGUAUAGUAAUAUCCCAUCAUGUACAUCUCUAUUUCCCUUGUUUGUUUUCUCUUGACAUUCCUUGCAAUUACUGCUAGUGAUUUCUUUUCAAUCCGAUGGUUCAGUAGAAAAACUUGUCCAUAGCAUCUAUAGUUUUUUUGUUCUGAAAAUACAUGGA
rnacentral:misc_RNA from 1 species